CCUACGGUGCACAGCAGUGGGGAAUAUUGCACAAUGGGCGAAAGCCUGACGCAGCGACACCGCGUGCGGGAUGAAGGUCUUCGGAUCGUAAACCUCUGUCAGCAGGGAAGAACGGUCACUGUGCUAAUCAGCAGUGAAUUGACGGUACCUGCAAAGGAAGCACCGGCUAACUCCGUGCCAGCAGCCGCGGUAAUACGGAUGGUGCGAGCGUUAAUCGGAAUUACUGGGGGUAAAGCGGUCGUAGGCUGUAUGUUAAGUCCAGGGUGAAAUACCCGGGCUCAACGUGGGCACUGCCUUUGAAACUGGCAAACUGGAGUGUGUGAGAGGAUAGUGGAAUUCCAGGUGUAGGAGUGAAAUCCGUAGAUAUCUGGAGGAACAUCAGUGGCGAAGGCGACUAUCUGGCACAUAACUGACGCUGAGGAGCGAAAGCGUGGGUAGCAAACAGGAUUAGAUACCCCAGUAGUC
rnacentral:rRNA from 1 species